rnacentral:rRNA from 1 species
CCUACGGGAGGCAGCAGUGAGGAAUAUUGGUCAAUGGGCGCGAGCCUGAACCAGCCAAGCAGCGUGAAGGAUGACUGCCCUACGGGUGGUAAACCUCUUUUAUAAAGGAAUAAAGUGAGGCACGUGUGCCUUUUUGUAUGUACUUUAUGAAUAAGGAUCGGCUAACUCCGUGCCAGCAGCCGCGGUAAUACGGAGGAUCCGAGCGUUAUCCGGAUUUAGUGGGUUUAAAGGGAGCGUAGAUGGGUUGUUAAGUCAGUUGUGAAAGUUUGCGGCUCAACCGUAAAAGUGCAAUUGAUACUGGCAGCCUUGAGUGCAGUUGAGGUAGGCGGAAUGCGAGGUGUAGCGGUGAAAUGCGUAGAUAUCUCGAAGAACUCCGAUUGCGAAGGCAGCUUACUAGACUGCCACUGACAUUGAUGCUCGAAAGUGUGGGUAUCAAACAGGAUUAGAUACCCUUGUAGUC